UGAGUACGAGCUGCUACGGCAGCGAAGUGGGUGAUGUCAAGCUUCCAAGAAAAGCCCUAUACCCGUUAAGGCAUGACGGCCUGUACCCGAAACCGACACAGGUGGGGUGGUAGAGAAUACCGAGGGGCGCGAGAUAACUCUCUCUAAGGAACUCGGCAAAAUGGCCCCGUAACUUCGGGAGAAGGGGUGCCACCGCAAGGUGGUCGCAGUGAAGAGGCCCAGGCGACUGUUUACCAAAAACACAGGUCUCCGCUAAGUCGCAAGACGAUGUAUGGGGGCUGACGCCUGCCCAGUGCCGGAAGGUUAAGGAAGCUGGUCAGCGCAAGCGAAGCUGGCGACUGAAGCCCCGGUGAACGGCGGCCGUAACUAUAACGGUCCUAAGGUAGCGAAAUUCCUUGUCGGGUAAGUUCCGACCCGCACGAAAGGCGUAACGAUCUGGGCGCUGUCUCGGAGAGAGGCUCGGCGAAAUAGAAUUGUCUGUGAUAUGCGGACUACGUGCACCCGGACAGAAAGACCCUAUGAAGCUUUACUGUAGCUUGGUAUUGUGCCCGGGCUCUGAAUGCGCAGGAUAGGUGGGAGGCUUUGAUCCAUUGCUUGCGGGUGAUGGUGAGCCAACGGUGAGAUACCACUCUUUCAGAGCUAGGGUUCUAACGGUCACCCGUUAUCCGGGGACCGGACAGUAUCAGGUGGGCAGUUUGACUGGGCGGUCGCCUCCUAAAAGGUAACGGAGGCGCGCAAAGGUUCCCUCAGGCUGGUUGGAAAUCAGCCGACGAGUGUAAAGGCAGAAGGGAGCUUGACUGUGAGACCUACAAGUCGAACAGGGACGAAAGUCGGCCUUAGUGAUCCGACGGUUCUGAGUGGAAGGGCCGUCGCUCAACGGAUAAAAGUUACUCUAGGAUAACAGGCUGAUCUCCCCCAAGAGUUCACAUCGACGGGGAGGUUUGGCACCUCGAUGUCGGCUCAUCCAACCUGGGGCUGAAGUCGGUCCCAAGGGUUGGGCUGUUCGCCCAUUAAAGCGGUACGCGAGCUGGGUUCAGAACGUCGUGAGACAGUUCGGUCCAUAUCCGGUGCAUGCGCAGGAACAUUGAGAGGAUUUCUCCCUAGUACGAGAGGACCGGGAGGAACGCACCUCUGGUGUACCAGUUAUCGUGCCAACGGUAAACGCUGGGUAGCCAUGUGCGGAGCGGAUAACCGCUGAAAGCAUCUAAGUGGGAAGCCCACCUCAAGAUGAGUGUUCCCAUGGCAUAAGCCAGUAAGGUCACGGGAAGAACACCCGUUGAUAGGCUCUACGUGGAAGCGUGGCAACACGUGAAGCGGAGGAGUACUAAUAGACCGAGGGCUUGACC
rnacentral:rRNA from 1 species